UGAUUUGGAAGACUGAAGUGGAAACCUUGGGAAGGUGGGCCUCAGAGUAUGUCAGCUGGGGUCAGACGGGAACAGGAGUCUGGCUCAACACACAUUUAUUGCACUCCUGUUUCAUGCCAAGAAAUGUACCAAAAUCUGGGACUGUGUAACACAGCAAAGGAAAAGACUCAUCUCCAGGAAGCCCCCUUGUCUAGGAAGAGAAAUUGAAUAUCAGCAUAAGGUGGUGAAAAGCUGUGAAGGAGAUGAGUGCCAGGAGUCCAUGGAGGAAGGAUUCUAGCCUGGACAGAGUCUCCAUGAAUUGCAAGGGAAAACAAGUGGUACACUGGUAUUUCUAUUUGAUAACCUGUUCUCUUUGGAAUUCCGGUUAGAAAUCAAAGGCUUACUUGAGUUUUAAUGCUUUCGGGACUUCAAAUGCUUUUCUAUCUUCCUAAUAAUAUAUUAACAUUUUCUGAAGACAACAUAUAUGUGGAAAACAACAUUAUUUACUCAAAUAAUUUUUUUUGAAAAAUGGACCAAAAAAAAA
rnacentral:lncRNA from 10 species